CCUACGGGGGGCUGCAGUGGGGAAUAUUGGACAAUGGGCGAAAGCCUGAUCCAGCCAUGCCGCGUGUGUGAAGAAGGCCUUCGGGUUGUAAAGCACUUUCAGUGGGGAAGAAAGCCUUGGGGCUAAUACCCUCGAGGAAGGACAUCACCCACAGAAGAAGCACCGGCUAACUCCGUGCCAGCAGCCGCGGUAAUACGGAGGGUGCGAGCGUUAAUCGGAAUUACUGGGCGUAAAGCGCGCGUAGGCGGUCUGAUAAGCCGGUUGUGAAAGCCCCGGGCUCAACCUGGGAACGGCAUCCGGAACUGUCAGGCUAGAGUGUAGGAGAGGAAGGUAGAAUUCCCGGUGUAGCGGUGAAAUGCGUAGAGAUCGGGAGGAAUACCAGUGGCGAAGGCGGCCUACUGGACUGACACUGACGCUGAGGUGCGAAAGCGUGGGUAGCAAACAGGAUUAGAUACCCCGGUAGUC
rnacentral:rRNA from 1 species